rnacentral:rRNA from 1 species
AUUGAACGCUGGCGGCAUGCCUUACACAUGCAAGUCGAACGGCAGCACGGGUACUUGUACCUGGUGGCGAGUGGCGAACGGGUGAGUAAUACAUCGGAACGUACCUUAUCGUGGGGGAUAACGCAGCGAAAGCUGUGCUAAUACCGCAUACGCCCUUAGGGGGAAAGCGGGGGAUCGCAAGACCUCGCGCGAUUAGAGCGGCCGAUGCCUGAUUAGCUUGUUGGUGGGGUAAAAGCCCACCAAGGCGACGAUCAGUAGCUGGUCUGAGAGGACGAUCAGCCACACUGGGACUGAGACACGGCCCAGACUCCUACGGGAGGCAGCAGUGGGGAAUUUUGGACAAUGGGGGAAACCCUGAUCCAGCAAUGCCGCGUGAGUGAAGAAGGCCUUCGGGUUGUAAAGCUCUUUUGUCAGGGAAGAAACACCGGCUCUAACACAGUCCGGGAAUGACGGUACCUGAAGAAUAAGCACCGGCUAACUACGUGCCAGCAGCCGCGGUAAUACGUAGGGUGCAAGCGUUAAUCGGAAUUACUGGGCGUAAAGCGUGCGCAGGCGGUUAUACAAGACAGGCGUGAAAUCCCCGGGCUUAACCUGGGAAUGGCGCCUGUGACUGUAUAGCUAGAGUGUGUCAGAGGGGGGUAGAAUUCCACGUGUAGCAGUGAAAUGCGUAGAUA